rnacentral:lncRNA from 1 species
UUUAGUAUUAUGGUCGUUGAAUUUUGUAUCCCUUUGUAUGAUGUGUAACAGUAAGAUAGUGUAGAGUAGUAGGGUAGGGUAGGGGGUGUAAGAUGGUGAGUAGGGAAGGAGAUAGGGGUAUGUUGCUAGGACGAUUAAAAUAAGAUAAAAUUUGUUGGAAUUUUUUUAAGGGUUGUUAUUUUUUAUUUUUUUUGUGGGGUGUAAUCACAUGGGUGAGGGUACAUGAUAGGAUA